AUGGCGGGCGCCCCUCCCCCAGCCUCGCUGCCGCCUUGCAGUUUGAUCUCGGACUGCUGUGCUAGCAAUCAGCGAGACUCCGUGGGCGUAGCACCCUCCGAGCCAGGUGCGGGAUAUAAUCUGGUGGUGCACCGUUUUUUAAGCUGGUCCGAAAAGCGCAGUAUUCGGGUGGGAGUGACCCGAUUUUCCAGGUAUUCUCCACUGGUUGAAUGCAAAUGGAAGCCAGAGGAAAAGGGAACCCUUGACACAGUUUUCAUAUAGAUUGGCCUCCAGGGCAGACAGCAGUUGCUCUGGCUAUAUCAAAUAAAAGUGUCAAGAGUGAGCAUCCUUGCCUUGUGCUGAAUCACAAAGGAAUACCUUUCAGUUUUUCUCCAUUGAUUAUGAUAGCAGUGGGCUUUUCACAGUGGGCUUUACUGUGUUGAGGUACCCUAAUGACAAGUUCACCCCAGUGUUUUCUGAGGAGUCUACCUGGAAAUGAGAACCAUCUGUCCUUCCUAUAGUAGUUCUUCUCAGAAUGCCGACUCUAUGCUAAUG
rnacentral:lncRNA from 10 species